rnacentral:ncRNA from 1 species
AAAAAGCUCGUAGUUGGAUCUGGGCGCAGGCGGCCGGUCCGUCGCAAGGCGUGUACUGGACGUCCUGGCCUUCCCUCCGGUUCUCCGCCGGUGCUCUUGACUGAGUGUCGGCGGCGGCCGGAACGUUUACUUUGAAAAAAUUAGAGUGUUCAAAGCAGGCUCUCGAGCCUGGAUAAUGGUGCAUGGAAUAAUGGAAUAGGACCUCGGUUCUAUUUUGUUGGUUUUCGGAGCGCGAGGUAAUGAUUAAGAGGGACAGACGGGGGCAUUCGUACUGUGCCGUUAGAGGUGAAAUUCUUGGAUCGGCGCAAGACGAACGACUGCGAAAGCAUUUGCCAAGAAUGUUUUCUUUAAUCAAGAGCGAAAGUCAGAGGUUCGAAGACGAUCAGAUACCGUCCUAGUUCUGACUAUAAACGAUGCCAACUAGCGAUCGGGGGGCGUUACAUUGACGACCCCUCCGGCAGCUUACGGGAAACCAAAGUCUUUGGGUUCCGGGGGAAGUAUGGUUGCAAAGCUGAAACUUAAAGGAAUUGACGGAAGGGCACCACCAGGAGUGGAGCCUGCGGCUUAAUUUGACUCAACACGGGAAAUCUCACCCGGCCCGGACACAGUGAGGAUUGACAGAUUGAGAGCUCUUUCUUGAUUCUGUGGGUGGUGGUGCAUGGCCGUUCUUAGUUGGUGGAGCGAUUUGUCUGGUUAAUUCCGAUAACGAACGAGACUCUGGCUUGCUAAAUAGUUACGCGACCAUCCCGGUCGGCGUUUAACUUCUUAGAGGGACAAGUGGCGUU